rnacentral:rRNA from 1 species
AGAGUUUGAUCCUGGCUCAGGAUGAACGCUGGCGGCGUGCCUAAUACAUGCAAGUCGAACGCACAAUAAGGAGCUUGCUCCUUAGAGUGAGUGGCGAACGGGUGAGUAAUACAUAAAUAAUCUGCCUUAAUGACUGGGAUAACUUUGGGAAACUAAAGCUAAUACCGGAUGGGAUAUUCAAUGGUAGCAUAGAAUAUGAAAAGGAAGGGCUAGUACCUUCGCAUUAAGAUGAGUUUAUGGUGCAUUAGCUAGUUGGUGGGGUAAGGGCCUACCAAGGCGAUGAUGCAUAGCCGACCUGAGAGGGUGACCGGCCACACUGGGACUGAGACACGGCCCAGACUCCUACGGGAGGCAGCAGUAGGGAAUUUUCGGCAAUGGGGGCAACCCUGACCGAGCGACGCCGCGUGAGUGAAGAAGGCCUUCGGGUUGUAAAGCUCUGUUAUCAGGGAAGAAUGAUCUUACUAGGAAAUGAGUAGGAUGUGACGGUACCUGAUCAGAAAGUCACGGCUAACUACGUGCCAGCAGCCGCGGUAAUACGUAGGUGACGAGCGUUAUCCGGAAUGAUUGGGCGUAAAGGGUGCGUAGGCGGCUAUUUAAGUUUAAGGUUAAAGUUCAGAGCUCAACUCUGUGAUGCCUUAGAAACUGGGUAGCUAGAGUGCAGGAGAGGUUAGUAGAAUUCCAUGUGUAGCGGUAAAAUGCGUAGAGAUAUGGAGGAACACCAGUGGCGAAGGCGGCUAACUGGCCUGUAACUGACGCUGAGGCACGAAAGCGUGGGGAGCAAAUAGGAUUAGAUACCCUAGUAGUCCACGCCGUAAACGAUGAAUACUAAGUG